rnacentral:rRNA from 1 species
AGUGAACGCUGGCGGUAUGCUUAACACAUGCAAGUCGAACGGCAGCACAGUAAGAGCUUGCUCUUCCGGGUGGCGAGUGGCGGACGGUUCAUGAAUACAUCCUAAUCUACUUUUUCGUAGGGGUUAACGUAGCGAAACUUACGCCAAUACCGCAUACGAUGUACGGUUGUAAGCAUUGGAUCUUCGGACCUUGCGCGAUUGGAUUAGCCGAUGUCGGAUUAGCUAGUUGGCGGGGUACCGGCCCACCAAGGCGACGAUCCGCAGCCGGUCUGAGAGGAUGAUCAGCCACAUGGGAACUGAGACACGGUCAAGACUCCUACGGGAGGCAGCAGUGGGGAAUAUUGGACAAUGGGCGCAAGCCUGAUCCAGCCAUACCGCGUGUGAGAAGAAGGCGUUCGGGUUGUAAAGACCUUUUGUUGGGAAAGAAAAGCAGCAGGCUAAUACCACGCGGUUGUGACGGUACCGAAAGAAUAAGCACCGGCUAACUACGUG